AAAAGGAAAACAGGAAGAGGGGGGGGAAAGUCUGGUGCCAGCAGCCGCGGC
rnacentral:rRNA from 21 species